rnacentral:rRNA from 1 species
AUUGAACGCUGGCGGCAGGCCUUACACAUGCAAGUCGAACGAGUGGCGGACGGGUGAGUAAUGUAUGGGAAACUGCCUGAUGGAGGGGGAUCACUACUGGGAACGGUAGCUAAUACCGCAUACCAUCGGAUGUGCCCAGAUGGGAUUAGCUAGUAGGUGGGGUAUAGGCUCACCAAGGCGACGAUCCCUAGCUGGUCUGAGAGGAUGACCAGCCACACUGGAACUGAGACACGGUCCAGACUCCUACGGGAGGCAGCAGUGGGGAAGAUUGCACAAUGGGCGAAAGCCUGAUGCAGCCAUGCCGCGUGUAUGAAGAAGGCCUUCGGGUUGUAAAGCACUUUCAGCGAGGAGGCGUUACUCGCAGAAGAAGCACCGGCUAACUCCGUGCCAGCCGCCGCGGUAAUUC